AGUGAACGCUGGCGGUAGGCCUAACACAUGCAAGUCGAACGGCAGCACAGUAAGAGCUUGCUCUUACGGGUGGCGAGUGGCGGACGGGUGAGGAAUACAUCGGAAUCUACUUUUUCGUGGGGGAUAACGUAGGGAAACUUACGCUAAUACCGCAUACGACCUACGGGUGAAAGCAGGGGAUCUUCGGACCUUGCGCGAUUGAAUGAGCCGAUGUCGGAUUAGCUAGUUGGCGGGGUAAAGGCCCACCAAGGCGACGAUCCGUAGCUGGUCUGAGAGGAUGAUCAGACACACUGGAACUGAGACACUGUCCAGACUCCUACGGGAGGCAGCAGUGGGGAAUAUUGGACAAUGGGCGCAAGCCUGAUCCAGCCAUACCGCGUGGGUGAAGAAGGCCUUCGGGUUGUAAAGCCCUUUUGUUGGGAAAGAAAAGCAGCAGGUUAAUACCCCGCUGUUCUGACGGUACCCAAAGAAUAAGCACCGGCUAACUUCGUG
rnacentral:rRNA from 1 species